rnacentral:rRNA from 1 species
GGAUGAACGCUGGCGGCGUGCCUAAUACAUGCAAGUCGAGCGAACAGACGAGGAGCUUGCUCCUCUGACGUUAGCGGCGGACGGGUGAGCAACACGUGGAUAACCUACCUAUAAGACUGGGAUAACUUCGGGAAACCGGAGCUAAUACCGGAUAAUAUAUUGAACCGCAUGGUUCAAUAGUGAAAGACGGUUUUGCUGUCACUUAUAGAUGGAUCCGCGCCGCAUUAGCUAGUUGGUAAGGUAACGGCUUACCAAGGCAACGAUGCGUAGCCGACCUGAGAGGGUGAUCGGCCACACUGGAACUGAGACACGGUCCAGACUCCUACGGGAGGCAGCAGUAGGGAAUCUUCCGCAAUGGGCGAAAGCCUGACGGAGCAACGCCGCGUGAGUGAUGAAGGUCUUCGGAUCGUAAAACUCUGUUAUUAGGGAAGAACAAAUGUGUAAGUAACUAUGCACGUCUUGACGGUACCUAAUCAGAAAGCCACGGCUAACUACGUG